rnacentral:rRNA from 1 species
GUGCCAGCCGCCGCGGUAAUACGUAGGGUGCGAGCGUUGUCCGGAUUUAUUGGGCGUAAAGGGCUCGUAGGUGGUUGAUCGCGUCGGAAGUGUAAUCUUGGGGCUUAACCCUGAGCGUGCUUUCGAUACGGGUUGACUUGAGGAAGGUAGGGGAGAAUGGAAUUCCUGGUGGAGCGGUGGAAUGCGCAGAUAUCAGGAGGAACACCAGUGGCGAAGGCGGUUCUCUGGGCCUUUCCUGACGCUGAGGAGCGAAAGCGUGGGGAGCGAACAGGCUUAGAUACCCUGGUAGUCCACGCUGUAAACGGUGGGUACUAGGUGUGGGGUCCAUUCCACGGGUUCCGUGCCGUAGCUAACGCUUUAAGUACCCCGCCUGGGGAGUACGGCCGCAAGGCUAAAACUCAAAGGAAUUGACGGGGCCCCGCACAAGCGGCGGAGCAUGCGGAUUAAUUCGAUGCAACGCGUAGAACCUUACCUGGGUUUGACAUGGAUCGGGAGUGCUCAGAGAUGGGUGUGCCUCUUUUGGGGUCGGUUCACAGGUGGUGCAUGGCUGUCGUCAGCUCGUGUCGUGAGAUGUUGGGGUUAAGUCCCGCAACGAGCGCAACCCUUGUUCACUGUUGCCAGCACGUUAUGGUGGGGACUCAGUGGAGACCGCCCGGGGUCAACUCGGAGGAAGGGUGGGGGAUGACGUCAAGUCAUCAUGCCCCUUAUGUCCAGGGCUUCACGCAUGCUACAAUGGCUGGUACAGAGAGUGGCGAGCCUGUGAGGUGAGCGAAUCUCGGAAGCCCGUCUCAGUUCGGAUUGGGGUCUGCACUCGACCUCAUGAAAGUCGGAGUCGCUAGUAA